AUAAUUACAUUUUAUUUAAAUACCUACUUGAUGACUAUUAUAGACAAAAGCUCUUAUGUGUUCUUUUCUUCGUUAUUAUAGUUCUGCAGAAUCAGAAGAUUUGGCAGUACAUUUAUAUCCAGGAGCUGUUACUAUUCAAGGUGUUCUCAGGAGAAAAACUUUGUUAAAAGAAGGCAAAAAGCCUACAGUAGCAUCUUGGACAAAAUAUUGGGCAGCUUUGUGUGGGACACAGCUUUUUUACUAUGCUGCCAAAUCUCUAAAGGCUACAGAAAGAAAACAUUUCAAAUCAACAUCCAAUAAGAACGUAUCUGUGGUAGGAUGGAUGGUGAUGAUGGCUGAUGACCCUGAACAUCCGGAUCUCUUCCUGCUGACUGACUCUGAGAAAGGAAAUUCGUACAAGUUUCAAGCUGGCAAUAGAAUGAAUGCAAUGUUAUGGUUUAAGCAUUUGAGUGCAGCCUGCCAAAGUAACAAACAACAGGUUCCUACAAACUUGAUGACUUUUGAGUAGAAGCCUGAGAAAAAAA
rnacentral:sRNA from 1 species